CUGGUCAGCCGGAUCCGUCGGCGAGGAGGUCGGGCUCGUUGGAUCCAGUGGCCCCAGCCUCCUCACGAGCGGCGAUGACGGCUAGGGAA
rnacentral:pre_miRNA from 1 species